rnacentral:rRNA from 1 species
AACGAACGCUGGCGGCAGGCCUAACACAUGCAAGUCGAACGCUCCAGCAAUGGAGAGUGGCAGACGGGUGAGUAACGCGUGGGAACCUUCCCUAUGGUUCGGAAUAGCCCAGGGAAACUUGGGGUAAUACCGGAUAAGCCCUUCGGGGGAAAGAUUUAUCGCCAUUGGAUGGGCCCGCGUCGGAUUAGCUAGUUGGUGGGGUAACGGCCCACCAAGGCGACGAUCCGUAGCUGGUCUGAGAGGAUGAUCAGCCACACUGGGACUGAGACACGGCCCAGACUCCUACGGGAGGCAGCAGUGGGGAAUAUUGGACAAUGGGCGCAAGCCUGAUCCAGCCAUGCCGCGUGAGUGACGAAGGCCUUAGGGUUGUAAAGCUCUUUUGGCGGGGAAGAUAAUGACGGUACCCGCAGAAUAAGCUCCGGCUAACUUCGUGCCAGCAGCCGCAGUAACAC